rnacentral:rRNA from 1 species
GACGUAGGGCGCGAGCGUUGUCCGGAUUUAUUGGGCGUAAAGAGUUCGUAGGCGGCUCAUUGCGUCAACCGUUAAAACCAGCAGCUCAACUGUUGGCUUGCGGUUGAUACGGGUGGGCUGGAGUUCGGUAGGGGAGACUGGAAUUCCUGGUGUAGCGGUGAAAUGCGCAGAUAUCAGGAGGAACACCGGUGGCGAAGGCGGGUCUCUGGGCCGAGACUGACGCUGAGGAGCGAAAGCGUGGGGAGCGAACAGG